AAAAACGUCAAGUCACGUAACUCUUCGACACCAGUGCACGCUGGGAAACCGAGUUCUCAACAGAUGGCCACUGUACUCCACUACUACAGUGAUCCUGGCCUGGACAUCUGUUGAGCUGUUAGUUCCUGGAAUAACUAUGUCUAAAAGAGAACAGGAAAGACAAAUUUACCAAAGCUUUUUGCAGGCAGUUGACAGGGAACCCCCCGAGGUUGGAUCCUGAUGAAUCGUCGCUUGGGGAAGAGCCUGCAGCCUGCGCCUGUCGGGGCAUCAUAGGAACUGGAGUUGACU